rnacentral:rRNA from 1 species
AGCGGCAGGCCUAAUACAUGCAAGUCGUACGGGAUUUCAUCUUUCGGGAUGAAUGAGAGUGGCGCACGGGUGCGUAACGCGUAUGCAACCUACCUGUUACAGGGAGAUAGCCCGGGGAAACUCGGAUUAAUAUUCCAUAGUAUAUAAUCGUUGCAUGGUGAUUAUAUUAAAGCCUUCGGGUGGUAACAGAGGGGCAUGCGAAGGAUUAGCUAGUUGGCGAGGUAACGGCUCACCAAGGCGACGAUCCUUAGGGGUUCUGAGAGGAAGGUCCCCCACACUGGCACUGAGAUACGGGCCAGACUCCUACGGGAGGCAGCAGUAGGGAAUAUUGGUCAAUGGGCGAGAGCCUGAACCAGCCAUGCCGCGUGCAGGAAGACGGCGUUCUGCGUUGUAAACUGCUUUUAUCUGGGAAGAAAAAGCCCUUGCGAGGGAAAUUGCCGGUACCAGAAGAAUAAGCACCGGCUAACUCCGUGCCAGCAGCCGCGGUAAUAC